rnacentral:rRNA from 1 species
CCUGGCUCAGAUUGAACGCUGGCGGCAGGCCUAACACAUGCAAGUCGAGCGGUAGAGAGAAGCUUGCUUCUCUUGAGAGCGGCGGACGGGUGAGUAAUGCCUAGGAAUCUGCCUGGUAGUGGGGGAUAACGUUCGGAAACGGACGCUAAUACCGCAUACGUCCUACGGGAGAAAGCAGGGGACCUUCGGGCCUUGCGCUAUCAGAUGAGCCUAGGUCGGAUUAGCUAGUUGGUGAGGUAAUGGCUCACCAAGGCGACGAUCCGUAACUGGUCUGAGAGGAUGAUCAGUCACACUGGAACUGAGACACGGUCCAGACUCCUACGGGAGGCAGCAGUGGGGAAUAUUGGACAAUGGGCGAAAGCCUGAUCCAGCCAUGCCGCGUGUGUGAAGAAGGUCUUCGGAUUGUAAAGCACUUUAAGUUGGGAGGAAGGGUUGUAGAUUAAUACUCUGCAAAUUGACGUACCGACAGAA